UACGUAGGGGGCAAGCGUUGUCCAGAUUUAUUGGGCGUAAAGAGCGUGUAGGCGGCUUCACAAGUCCGCUGUGAAAACUCGAGGCUCAACCUCGAGCUGUCGGUGGAAACUGUGAGGCUAGAGUCCGGAAGAGGAGAGUGGAAUUCCCGGUGUAGCGGUGAAAUGCGGCAGAUAUCGGGAAGAACACCCGUGGCGAAGGCG
rnacentral:rRNA from 1 species